rnacentral:rRNA from 1 species
UACGAAGGGGGCUAGCGUUGUUCGGAAUCACUGGGCGUAAAGCGCACGUAGGCGGACUGCUAAGUCAGAGGUGAAAUCCUGGGGCUCAACCCCAGAACUGCCUUUGAUACUGGCGAUCUUGAGUGUGGAAGAGGUUGGUGGAACUCCGAGUGUAGAGGUGAAAUUCGUAGAUAUUCGCAAGAACACCAGUGGCGAAGGCGGCUCACUGGUCCGGUACUGACGCUGAGGUGCGAAAGCGUGGGGAGCAAACAGG